CAACAUCAGAACAGUAUAUGAAUAUGGCAAAUGCUGUUUUGACAUCAUUUCCUGCCAUCCUGAGAAACAGUGAUCUCGAGGAGCAUGAAUUGCAGCUGCAAUGGAAAUUACGCAUCCAGCGCAAGUUUCAGAAUUCAAGAAAGAGGCAGGAUUCCUCAGUGACUGAGGUGACGUCAAGGAAAAAGAAGAUCCCUUGCAUAGCGCCAAAAGAGACUACGUGUCCACUGAUGUAUGGAGUAAAGGCUUACCUUCCACCAAGGCCCCAUUCAGAAGAUGAUGAGUCAUUAGAGAGACAUAGACAGUGGCUUGCUCUACAGUGGAUGAAGAAAGAUCCCGAGUUAGAUAAGGCUGAACGCCUCAUGCAGUUGACACUCUGAGAGAUGCAAAAAAAUAAUCAAUGGGAACAUUCUUGUAGCAGAAAUCCUGAACUUGUACCCGUGGAUUCAGACUUUUGAUGGCAUAAUCAAGGAGUUUCUGAGAUUAGAACCACAAGCGGAUGAACCAGACCCAAGAGUAGCAGUUUUGAAAGGGCUGGAGAAAUAUAGGCUCCCAAUAAUUGCCAUUCUCAAAAGAAAAGCAGUUCCUCUGUAUAUGGAAACCUUACUUGAACUCUAUGACCACGAUGAAAGUCAAUGCGAGUAAUGUCUAGUUCAAUUUGUUCAUUUCAGUAGCUGGUAGCAAUUUAAUAUAUGUAUCUUUUCAUCAUUAGCAAUGCAUCUUUCACUUUUAUAAGCCUAGUAUUCAUGAAACUAUGCUGCAUGCAAAAACCAAACAUUGUAUUAAGCAUGACCUAUCUAACUGUAAUGCUUGCACCAAUUUCUAUAAAGGUACUAAUUUAAUUGUUAAAUUCCUGCUCUGCUAUCAAAUUUUUGGCUGAGUGCUAUGGCUAAAUAAUUGUUUGCAGCAUAAGUGAUGUUAAAGAUUUUAAUAGGUGUAAAGCAUCUCUCUCUCUCUCUCUCUCUCUCUCUCUCUCUCUCUCUCUCUCUCUCUCUCUCUCUCUCUCUCUCUCUCUCUCGUAAGGAAAGACAUUAUUUCUAGUGUAAAUAAACCCAAUAGGCUGUCCAAUUUGAAAUUUAAAAUGUAAAUAUUAUCAAUCUUUUUAGAAAUGUUAGCUGCAUCCUCUUCCCUUGCAGUCCAAUAAGAUAGGUCACUAAUUCGUGUGGAGAUAGAAUUCUUGGAGCUACCUUUGCCGGCACUAGCACAAGUGCAAACAGUCUGAUAAAGGUUUUUUCCAUGGUUGUGAUGAAGUUCAGGACUUCUCACACUGUUUUGGUGGAUAUGAUGAGAAGAAUCGGGAGUUCAGAACAUCAGUGCGUUAUGUCGGGGCAUGUAGGUUCGGCUGGGGUUUUCUUUCUUUCUUUUUUUUUUUUUGAUCAGUACUCAUCAUAUUCUUAUGAGGACUUGUUAGACAAAGCAUUAUUGCAUUAUGAUAUUACCCAAAUAGUGUCUCAAGUAAAAAACAUAACCACAUACUCGUACAAAAGAUUUGCUGCUGUGACACAAAGGACAAAAAUCAUUAGUAUACUGGUCGUUCUGAGCAUUCAAUCAAAAUGCUUGUCAUUCAUAUAAUUAGUAGAACCAUCGAGGAGCUUUAUUUUUGUUAAUUCUUAUGUGAUAAAGCAAUAAUUACAGGAGACUUUUAAAAGAUUUGUACUCAAAUUAGUGGACUGUCCUAUUGGAUGUGACCAUAUCUUCACUUUUUCCUUACACAGUUAAUUUUCUCUUGUUUAUUUGAUUUACUUAUUAUCAUAUUUAUUUAUAUAUUUAUUUAUUUGCACCAGAUGCUUGCUUAGUUAUAUUGGGAUUACUUCACCUGCUUGGAGAAAGGAAAGACUCCAUUUUUACUAAGGUACCAGAAGAAGAACUAAGAACAGGGCAGUCUAGUGUGUAUUUGAUGGUGCACCUGUAGCUGAACCAACAUGUAUUUCUAUGGCUGUAGUCUCAUUGGUAGCAGGGCUUUGUGUUUAAUAUUGAACACCCUAAAAAUUGUGAACAUUUCCUCCGUUUCACAACAUCCCAUCUCUUAGGUAUCAAGUAUGACAAAGGUAACACUUCAAAAACAAGAUCUCUACUUGUAAAACUCAAUGAAGUAAAGGCAGAAUUGAGCUACAAAAAUGCAUAAAUCUGCUUCCAAAUAUAUUCAACUCCACACAUAAUGCCUCACUCUCUCUCUCUCUCUCUCUCUCUCUCUCUCUCUCUC